GGCCGGGGCGCUUGAUGCUAAUAUGCUCAUACAGUAACUCCUAGGCAAGAUGCUAGUGCUUUAAUAGCAAUUUCAGGGGACAGCGCCUUCCCCCCCUCAAUAAAUUCAAUUAUGGGUGUUAGAUAUUUGGGGACAGUUAUUUAUUUUAAUGUUCCAUAAAUAUCGACAUGCAGCCGUCUGCCUACUCCACCUGCCAUAGCCCUAGAGAUAUGCUUCAUGGCUUUGUUCUGAAGUUCCCUAAUUGAUCUUCCAAACUCAUUCUGGACAUUAAUCUUUUCGAGGAUUGAUGAUCAGGGCUUUAUGUGAGUCUCUUGGAUAUUGCCAUUCAGAGAAACCCUGUACAUUUAGACUGUAGUCUUGAGCUCAGAUUGUUUUCCACAGAUGCCAUUCUGGUGUUAAAGUAAUCCAUGGAAACUAUAUGCAAAAUGCUAAGGCGUCUCCAUUAGGACUGGGGCGUCCAGGGAAUGGAGGACAGAUGGAGACCUGUAUUCACCUAAGCCUGGAAGUGCCAUGAAGGCAAGGACUGUCUCUUAUUUAUCUUUAUACCCUUAACAUCUGAUCCAGUGCCUCAAUAACAUUAUACUCCAGUAAAGGAAAACAAACCAUACACGUAUAUGUAAUAUUUCAAGAAGUGGUAACCACUGUGAAGAAAAGUAAAGAAUACUAAGGGAGAGUUGUGGCAGGAUAUUUUAGAUAGAGAAGGAAUCUUUGAGGGAGUGCCCUUUGGGAGAGCAGAAUAAGAAGUUGUAUUUAGGGAAUUGUUUUUCAGACAUAGGGAAAAAAAUGACACAAGGACCCCAAGGCCAGGAUGUGAUCAGCGUGUUUGAAGGACAGCAAUGAUUUCCUGUGGCUAAAGUGGGAAGAGGGAGGCAGAGUUUUAAAGAUGACAUCAUUGAGAUAUUGGUUUGAAGGUAACUUAUUUUGGUCAUUGAUUAGGCAAGGAAAACAGUAGUUAAAGCCACUUUCAUAUAUAACUAUGAAGGAUUAAAAAAUGUAUUAAAAACAAGUACAAUUGGGUAUCUUGUCACUAAUUUGACUUAGGAACUCUACUUCUUUAAAUCUGUAGGGUUUUUGCAUGGUUUUUUUUCCCCCCUGAAGCUUGGCACUUACCCAAUUCAUAGUUUUCUAAUAAUAAUUUACCUUUUCCACAAACCCACACUACUCACUCUGAGAAUUCAGUUUCCAAAACCUAACCUUUAAAGUUCCUGUUUUCUUCCUUUUUUGUUUUUCUCACCAAUAGCUCUGGACUUCCUUUUAAAGAUGGUGCAGUGGGCCAGGCAUGGUAGCUUAUGCCUGUAACCCCAGCACUUUGGGAGACCAAAGAGGGAGGCUCACUUGAGGUCAGGAGGUCGAGGUUGCAGUGAGCUAUGAUUACACCACCACACUCCAGCCUGGGUAACAGAGCAAGACCCUGUCUCUAAAAACAGUAAUAAUAAUAAUAACAUUAAUAAAAUAAAAUAAAGAUGGUUCACUGAAGGCCUCUGGAUGCAAGCCAACACUCUCCAAAU
rnacentral:lncRNA from 1 species